GAUGAAGAACGCAGCGAAAUGCGAUACGUAAUGUGAAUUGCAGAAUUCAGUGAAUCAUCGAAUCUUUGAACGCACAUUGCGCCCCCUGCUAUUCCGGGGGGCAUGCCUGUUCGAGCGUCAUUACAACCCUCAAGCUCUGCUUGGUGUUGGGCCCCGCCGCCCCGGCGGGCCCUAAAAUCAGUGGCGGUGCCGUCCGGCUCCGAGCGUAGUAAUUCUUCUCGCUCUGGAGGUCCGGGUGUGUGCUCGCCAGCAACCCCCAAUUUUUUUCAGGUUGACCUCGGAUCAGGUAGGGAUACCCGCUGAACUUAAGCAUAUCAAUAAGCGGAGGA
rnacentral:misc_RNA from 1 species